GGACAUAAUUAAUAAGAAUAAUGAAGGUGAACACGCACAUUUGAUAAAAGGUGCCAAGCGCUUUGGGGGGGGGGAGAAAAGACAACAGCUGGGUAAGAGUUAUUUGGAAAUCCUGGGCAGGGUCACGGUUUUAAAAAGGGAAUUGGGAGGAGGCCUGACUGGGCAGGUGUUCUGUGAGCAAGGCUGUAAAGGCGAGAAGAGAAUUAACCACGCAAGUAUCCAGAGGACAAGUGUCUCAAUCAGAAGCUGCUGACUGAAGUCUCUAGGACGGUAUAAGCCUGGCAUGUUCCGGAAACAACAAGAAGGCCCCCAAAUGUAAUAUUACUUCAUUAAAAUAAGUGAAGACCCGAGUAAAAGAAAGUAGCUGCAAGAAAGCAUAAAGAGAACAAACACAACACUCCGCUCCAUGACCGUGAUGAGCUCUACGUAGGAAAUGGCCCUGAUUUGACCACAACAGCUCCCCCAUGCUCCUCAGGUGGUUGUAUGUCCCCAAACAGAGAGAUCCCACAACAAGGACUUCAUGUGCACAGGGCAAGAUAGAUAAUCACAAGAGAGAUAAUCACGAAGGUCACAGAUAAUCACGAGGGCCCCAUUCCCUGUCCCACAGGUGGGUUAGGCAUGGAAUGGCGGCCAAUGAGUCCAACCGAUGAGACCUGCGUGGAAGCACGUGGACCCCAGGGGAGCCAGAGCUGGAGCAGGCUCACCAUCCCCACCUCAGUGAACAGUUCAAAGCACUGCAUCCCUCCUGGCACCAUCCUCAAUCUGCAAAUUCUCCUACAGUUUCUUGGGGAGACGUCAGCCCCAACCUCUCAGCAGCACUGAAUCCCUCUUUCAAUAUGGGUCGGCACUGAUAUUUCACGGCUGACCAUGAGGAAAUAAGUUGGCCAAAGACCACACUGGCAUGGAGUGAGAAUUCCAGGGAGAGCAGAGAGGAUAAGCUAGUCCCGAAGGCCUCCCCACGUGGGCAUCCAGGCUGGAGGCUCAGGCCAACAAAGCUUUCCUGGGAACCCCUCCCACACCAGGCUGAAAGGCGACUGAAGGCACAGUCUCUCGGGCCCCCUUCCAAAAGACUAGCAGCCCGAUGCCACACCUACACCACCCCCAGAAGCCCAGCUGGGAGGGACAGAGGGAAGCAGAGAGGAAGGAAGAGCACA
rnacentral:lncRNA from 1 species